ACUGUUUUAGCAGUGAAAAAGAAUACCCACAGACAAGGCACGGGUGGUGGGUCACCAAAGGCUGACCUUACCCCAGCAGAGGACAUGGCCUUGGAGCUAAAUAAAGGCAGGCCCGUCUUAAGAGGGGAUCCCUGGGGGGAAAGAGACGAGCAUAGGUUCCUCCCAAGAUGCCACCCGCUUCAUUCAAGUGCCUGGCAGCACUGUGUUCCUGUUAGAGCCACCAGCACAAGCACCAGACGAUGCUGAUCCAGGUGAAGGCCCCAGUGCAGCAGCAACAGCACAUGAUGGAGACGAUGAUGAGGAGGAGACCAUCUCUCUGGAUUCCAGAAGGCAUGAGGACCCAGAUGCUAUACAGUGGGAAAACCAGCCUGGCAACAUAGUGCGUAUUAAUAAAGGACACCACAUCCUGCCAAAUUCCAGCUGCGCUAAUUGUAUUGUGU